AGGACACAAAGUCCAGCUCUAGCUCGGUCAUCACCCAAGAGGCCCCAGGGGCUUCCACUUCCCCAGGUCUUAGUGUCCUUUGCUGCACAUGGAGGCCACAACGUCUGCUCUGCCUACCUCACUGAAUGGCUACGGGACAUGACAAGAGAACAGAUGUGAAAGUUCUCUGGAAGCUUCAGAGAGCACGCUGAAGAUAAGCCCUCCAAGACCAAAGCUAGGUGUACCCCCUACCCCGGCUGAAGAAAUAUCCAUCUGGGGAGGCCAGGCACCGCCAAGCACAGGCCUCCUUGGAGCUCAGUCACCUGCUUGGUCAGCAAACAUUUUUCGCAUCACAGGUGCCACAGCCGUAUUGGAGAGGAUACAUUGGUUGCAAGUUCAGAACUCAGCUCCCAUGAGCUAGGCCAAGGAGGGCGCAGCUGAGAUUCCGGAACAACUGGAGUCAGGGGCUCAGAGUUCACCACGACUCUCCCACUGCCACCUCUUAUCCCCGCUUGUCUCCAGGUGCCCAUGUCAUUCUCUCAUGGCAUAUGGAUUUCCUCCACAUUGCAGGAAACAGGGCUGCCCGAAUCCCUCCCCGCCAGCACACAUAUACACGCAACUCCUAAAUUUAACACCUUUGGGAUUUCACCAAAGGUACUGCCAGCUUUAAAUCAGAAAAUCCCAGGUAAGGAUUCUGAGCGGCCAGGCUUGGUCGGGUGCCCACCGCUAGACAAGUAAGGCAGGACGAGGGCAAAGUCACAGCAGGCAGCUCCUGUGGUCCGUGGGGAGAAGCGAUUUCCAGGAGAGAGAGGAGUGCUGGGCAACAAUCCCACAGACAUCCACCACAGCGCUCCCUUCUCAAGGGAGGCCCAGCUCAACAAAGACCUUCUCCAAACACCUCUCCAGCUCCACCUGGGCGGGAAAUAACAUUCUUCUCCUCCUCUCCCUGCCAGAGUGUUCCUCUGUACCUCCCUGUGCAUUGAGCGCCGGUUCACCGUGUACUCACCUUUUGAAUAACUUUUAUUAUACAAAUACUAAUAUGUGCUCACUGAAGGAAAAUACAGAAACAUAAAUAAAAAGAGGGAAACAAAAACCACUCAUAAACCUGCCAUCUGGAGAUAAUCCCUGUUACUAUUUGGGAGUGUGAGCGGGAUUUAGAUUUGUGUCAUUUUUUUCUCUGCCUGCAUUCAGCUCUUCAAUAGCCAAGUCCAAAUCUCACCUCCUCUCUGUGCACCCCUAGAACCGCCACAAUGCUUCCCAUGCAACAGAGGCUCCGUUUGUGCGUUUUAAAUAAGCCCAUGAAUAAAGAAAAGAAAAAACAAAUGGAUGAGUGAACAGAUGGUUGGAGAAAAAGCCCUCCUACCCAAAAGUUGCCCCAGAAGAGUCAGCAAGAAGGGAAAAGAGGGCAUAUGCACCCCACCCUCCCUGUCCC